GUGUAAUGAAGUCUAGCCAACCCUAUAAAAGAUCAAAAGAAAUUUAUGGCAAGUUUAUUUCAAGGCCAUUAAUUGAGUAAGUAAUUAAUUAAUUAUAUAAUUAGCUUUUUUGGUUUUGUAUUGCAUCAGAUAUAUAUCACCUAACCCAAAAACAAUUAUAAAAUAAAACUUGUUUAUCUUUAGGCUUCAGAUUUGGACCAGGAGUGGUUAAGUGUAAAAUCACUUUCUCUAAUGAAAAUGACAAGCACAUUGGACAAUAUUGGCGAAGAUAAUACUACAAGCCCUCAAUGUAAGCAGAUGACACCAAAUAUACCGAAAACAAAAAUUAAUGGAAUUACAAAAAGAAAAAUCAAUUUUCUCUCCUAAAUUUUCCCAGAAAAUAAAGUUGUCAAAAAAAAAAGGAAAAUAAAAAUAAGAGCAUAUAUAUACCGUAAAUUUGUGAGUAUAUGGUGCAUUAAAAAUUAGUACAUAAAUUUCCAUUGCGUUGAGUAUG
rnacentral:misc_RNA from 1 species